rnacentral:rRNA from 1 species
AGAGUUUGAUCAUGGCUCAGAUUGAACGCUGGCGGCAGGCCUAACACAUGCAAGUCGAGCGGUAGCACAGAGAGCUUGCUCUCGGGUGACGAGCGGCGGACGGGUGAGUAAUGUCUGGGAAACUGCCUGAUGGAGGGGGAUAACUACUGGAAACGGUAGCUAAUACCGCAUAACGUCGCAAGACCAAAGUGGGGGACCUUCGGGCCUCAUGCCAUCAGAUGUGCCCAGAUGGGAUUAGCUAGUAGGUGGGGUAAUGGCUCACCUAGGCGACGAUCCCUAGCUGGUCUGAGAGGAUGACCAGCCACACUGGAACUGAGACACGGUCCAGACUCCUACGGGAGGCAGCAGUGGGGAAUAUUGCACAAUGGGCGCAAGCCUGAUGCAGCCAUGCCGCGUGUAUGAAGAAGGCCUUCGGGUUGUAAAGUACUUUCAGCGAGGAGGAAGGCGUUAAGGUUAAUAACCUUGGCGAUUGACGUUACUCGCAGAAGAAGCACCGGCUAACUCCGUCCAGCAGCCGCGGUAAUACGGAGGGUGCAAGCGUUAAUCGGAAUUACUGGGCGUAAAGCGCACGCAGGCGGUCUGUCAAGUCGGAUGUGAAAUCCCCGGGCUCAACCUGGGAACUGCAUUCGAAACUGGCAGGCUAGAGUCUUGUAGAGGGGGGUAGAAUUCCAGGUGUAGCGGUGAAAUGCGUAGAGAUCUGGAGGAAUACCGGUGGCGAAGGCGGCCCCCUGGACAAAGACUGACGCUCAGGUGCGAAAGCGUGGGGAGCAAACAGGAUUAGAUACCCUGGUAGUCCACGCCGUAAACGAUGUCGACUUGGAGGUUGUGCCCUUGAGGCGUGGCUUCCGGAGCUAACGCGUUAAGUCGACCGCCUGGGGAGUACGGCCGCAAGGUUAAAACUCAAAUGAAUUGACGGGGGCCCGCACAAGCGGUGGAGCAUGUGGUUUAAUUCGAUGCAACGCGAAGAACCUUACCUACUCUUGACAUCCAGAGAACUUAGCAGAGAUGCUUUGGUGCCUUCGGGAACUCUGAGACAGGUGCUGCAUGGCUGUCGUCAGCUCGUGUUGUGAAAUGUUGGGUUAAGUCCCGCAACGAGCGCAACCCUUAUCCUUUGUUGCCAGCGGUUCGGCCGGGAACUCAAAGGAGACUGCCAGUGAUAAACUGGAGGAAGGUGGGGAUGACGUCAAGUCAUCAUGGCCCUUACGAGUAGGGCUACACACGUGCUACAAUGGCAUAUACAAAGAGAAGCGACCUCGCGAGAGCAAGCGGACCUCAUAAAGUAUGUCGUAGUCCGGAUUGGAGUCUGCAACUCGACUCCAUGAAGUCGGAAUCGCUAGUAAUCGUAGAUCAGAAUGCUACGGUGAAUACGUUCCCGGGCCUUGUACACACCGCCCGUCACACCAUGGGAGUGGGUUGCAAAAGAAGUAGGUAGCUUAACCUUCGGGAGGGCGCUUACCACUUUGUGAUUCAUGACUGGGGUGAAGUCGUAACAAGGUAACCGUAGGGGAACCUGCGGUUGGAUCACCUCCU